rnacentral:tRNA from 1 species
GUYUUCGUAGUAUACCUAAAUAYGUUGGUCUUGUAAACCAAAGACGGAGGAUAAAUACCCCCUAAGACU